rnacentral:lncRNA from 1 species
AUUCAAAACAUCUGACACACCGAAAAUCCUAAUACCCAGGAACCAUUGAGUAUAAGAAUCAAAGCAUAAUUAAUGUAAACUUAAAUAAGAAAAAUAUCUAUUGUGCUAAUCUCAAUUACCAUAAGAUAUCCAAGUGUCUACCCCUCAAUGAUGAUCCACACAAAAAUCAGAUCAAAGACAGUGCUCCUCCUUCAUCUUGCUUUAAGAGUUCUAGUCCCUAGAACCUGACUAGCCUUGUAUCGGUUAGGUUUCUUCAAGAACCUGACUCGAUCCAUUUAGAACCUCCUCUGAACUUUUGAAUCUUCUUCUGAACCC